AGGAGGAACAACUGCAGAGGCUGCAGCAGCUUGGAGCCCUGGAGUCAGCUCCCACAGAACUACAGAGCUCUCAGCCUGCAGGGCCUGGAGGCUCCGGGGCGGC
rnacentral:pre_miRNA from 1 species